rnacentral:lncRNA from 1 species
AAAAAAAUUGGAAGUCCGUAGCCCCAUUGGCUACGGUGUUAAAAAGUUAAUGUCGCACACUAAAGAUAUAAACAAAAUACCUGAAAUUAAUUACAGCUGUUCAGAAGACUAUUGGGAAUUUCUGAAAAGUGCCGCACACCAUACCUAUCAAGAAGUAUAGGCACAAAUGGUCUUAAGCAGGCACGUCAAGUGCAGAAAGACAUUUGCACUGAGAACCUGAAAAACCUGUUUGUAAGGGAACUAGAGGUAGCUGACUGGGCUGAGGCGGAAGACAUAUAUCCAGAUGAGACAAUCGAAUUAAUGGAAUUUGCAGACAUGGAAGUAACCACAAAAAAAGUACCCAUACGAAUUCUGGAUUUCCUCAAAAAAGUAAAAACGGGACAGAGCCAAGACCAGGAAAAUGAAAAAGAAAUAAGUGUCGAAAUAAUUAUAAAAAUAGAUGGAAAAAUAUACUCAACCAGCAACAUACAUGUUGAACAAGCAAAGACAAGGUGUAUAAGGAAGUUGAAGAAAGAAAUAAGGAAAAUAAAGUUUGCAGAAGAAUAGUGACUGGUCAACAAAAUCAAUCAAAAUCAACAAAAUAUGGGUUUUAAUACAAAAAAAAAGU